GGAAAAUAUCGCCAGAGGAGGGAUUACGCGCCUCGUGGAAGAGAUGGCGGCGGCGCUCCCAUCAUUUAUCAAUAUUACCGAUCUUUUCACAAGGACAUACUGGUGGCUGGUUCAACGUUGAAAAAUUAUUCCUACGAUGAUUCAAAAAAGGACGAGGAUCAGCUAAAACAGUGAGAGGCGCCAUCUUGAUUUUGCAAUGGCCAUGUCUUAUAAAAAAAUAUGUGUGCUCAAAAUCAGGCGUCAGAAUAAUUGAUGCUCCAUCGGCAAGAGUAAACAUAACCUUAUGGUUACUUAAUAUCCCUGCAGGAAAUGUCGGGUCACACAAACGGAUUCAAAAUAAUGUGCUCCACA